rnacentral:rRNA from 1 species
UACAGAGGUGGCAAGCGUUGUUCGGAAUUACUGGGCGUAAAGGGCGCGUAGGCGGUCCCGUCAGUCCCUUGUGAAAUCCCACGGCUCAACCGUGGAACUGCUCGGUAUACUGGCGGUCUUGAGCCACCUAGGGGCAACUGGAACAAGCGGUGGAGCGGUGAAAUGCGUAGAUAUCGCUUGGAACGCCAACGGUGAAAACAGGUUGCUGGGGGUGUGGCUGACGCUGAGACACGAAAGCCAGGGGAGCGGAACGGG